CCUUUUCGUCUCCCCCACCCAUUCGGCUCCCUUUUCUUCUUCACGCUGUGAUUCUGCGCGUGUGAACGUCAAACUCGCACACGCAUUCGUUGUCGUCCACCGUGCGCCACUGUCAACAGCCGAGGACGUAGUAACCGCCCCCCUGCCCUCCUGACGAAAAAAAAAUACGGGAAAAACACACAGACAAUAAAGCAAGAAGCCGCAAACACAAACAAAUUCCUCUCCCCCGUGAACAUCCACAAAUUCUAUAUUUCACCUACAGUGUCUUCUUUACACGCCUGUCAUUGCUCAGAUUCCCCAAACAUCAUCGACACACGUGCCGCUGUCUCUGCUUCUACUUCUCCCCUCUCUCCUUGUACACAAACUCUCCCUUUUUCUCGCCACGCCUUUCCGUCCUUCCCACCACCUCCCGUUCUCAUACCUGCUAUCUUGCACUGCACCUUGCGCGCUUCGAGGUUCUCUCUGCUUCUCUCCCUGCCGCGGCGUCAUCAAUCUCUUCUUGUGCGCCGGCGUGUCAUCCUCGAUCUCACUUUGCUGCUGUGCCUGCCUGCCUGCCUGCCUGCCUGCCUGCCUGCCUGCCUGCCUGCCUGCCUGUGUGUGUGUCUGUCUAUGUGCGCGCGCGCGCGUGUGUGUGUGUGUGCGCAUUCCCUUUUUCGAUUUUCCUUGGACCCGUUUUUUUUUUUGUUUGUUGUCUGUUGUGAUUUUUGUCGCUUUGCAUUUCCUCUUUUCCCGGGCUUGAUGCUUUAGAGGAACGCUACGAAGGCCAGCCGCAGCGUUUACGUGCUUGUAUGCUAGAUAUCCACGCCACCCCAUCUUUUUGUUUGCCCCAUCGUCGCCCUCGACGGCCUCGCAGUCUACAUACACACACACACACACACCACUACCACCACCACCGCCCGCUCCUCUUGUGUCGUACAUGUGAGUGUGAGGCUGGUUAGCUUUCCACUUAAGUCUUAUCAUUUUUUUUUAUCUUGAGCCUCUCCUUGGGCUUCUCUCAUCACCACAACUGUUCUGCUGAGGUCCUACUGGCUCUGUGCGCGUGUCUUGCUUCCCCCUCCCCAGGUUGUCCUCCGUGUAUCUUGGGCAUUUGCAUUCACGACGCCAAGAUGUCGGCCGAAAUCGAGUCGCAUAUUCUGAAGAAGUAUGAGAUUCAAGCACAGCUAGGACAGGGUGCCUACGGCAUCGUUUGGCGCGCCCUGGAGCGCAAACACAACCGCGUCGUUGCACUCAAGAAAAUUUACGACGCCUUCCAAAACUCGACCGAUGCACAGCGCACCUUCCGCGAGAUCAUGUUUCUGCACCGGCUGCACCACCCGAACAUCAUCAAGCUGCUGCACGUUCAUCGUGCCUUCAACGAUCGCGACAUAUACCUGGUCUUCGAAUACAUGGAGACCGACCUGCACGUGGUGAUUAGGGCAAACAUCUUGGAGGAAAUUCACAAACAGUUCAUCAUCUACCAGCUGCUCAAGACGAUGAAGUACCUGCAUUCUGCUGAGAUUCUUCACCGUGAUAUGAAACCAAGCAAUCUGCUCGUAAACAGCGACUGCACAAUGAAAGUGGCUGACUUCGGUCUCGCGCGCUCUAUCCUGUCCCUUGAGGGUGAGCAGGCGUCGCGGCCGGUGCUAACGGACUACAUUGCGACACGGUGGUACCGCCCGCCGGAGAUUUUGCUCGGCUCGACACGAUACACUAAGGGCGUGGAUAUGUGGUCUGUGGGCUGCAUUCUUGGGGAGUUGAUGCUGGGCAAGCCCAUCUUUCCCGGCCGAUCCACCACGAACCAGUUGGAGCUGAUCUGCAGCGUGACGGGCAUGCCCUCCGCGGCGGAUGUGGCGGCGACCAACUCGCAGUUUGCCCACGCGAUGCUUCGCGACAUUCACUGCGCGCAUCGACGCACGUUCGCUGAGCUGCUGCCAAGCGCUUCUGCCGACGCGCUGGACCUGAUCGAGCGCCUUAUGUGUUUCAACCCAAACCGUCGCAUGACUGCCGCCGAGGCCCUGGAGCACCCGUACGUCGCUGCCUUUCACCGUCCUGACGACGAACCGGUGGCGACCGAACCCAUCACCGUCUCUCUCCCCGACAGCCAGCGUCUGCCCUUGGCCAAGUACAGGGACGCCAUCUACGAGCAAAUUGCCGCGCUGCGCCGUAGCUCCACGUCCGCCGAUCAACGACAGCGCGCGGAGCGACAGGCCGCCGGCAGCACCGCCAGCCGCAAGACGUCCGUCAGCAGCGCCUCCGCUGGCGGCUCUCGAGGGGGCACCGGUACAUCUGGGGUCACGCGGCCCGCCACGAGCAGCAGCAGCAGCGCCGCCGCAGGGGCGGCUCCGCAGCGCAGUGUUGUGAAGCCCACCUCAACCAGCGCGGUCAACGAGGCAUCAUCUUCGAAGGCGUACGCCCGCCCCGCCUUCCGCUCGGCAACGUCUGCCGCCUCUGGUCUGGAAAGCAGACCCGUCGCGCGUGAGGCAGCGGUGCGCAAGUGACCGUCAUCGCUGCGCCUCUGCUCUUUCGCCUUGAAUGAUAGAAGCCGUUGUCCCCUUUCGCGCGUGGGAGUCGCCUUUUUUAAUGAGCGAAGUCUGUGGACUUCGCAAGUGUGUGUAGAUGUGCGUUUGUGUGUGUGCUCGCCGGUACUUUAGCCUCGUUUCGGCGGAUCCCGUUCUUUGGCGAUGAGGCUCAGCAGGUAUGAGCAAAGGAGGGGAGGUCACGAUUCGAGCGAUUCCUUGCUCGUGUGUGAGGGGAGAGAGGUACACGCUGCGAUUGGCUUCCUGCCCGCCUGUCUGUAUGCGGCGGACAAAGACACGGCGGUGCCUUUUUAUCGCGAAAACCCCGUAUCUUCCGCGCUGCUCUCUCUCUCUCUCUGUGGCUGCCCGUCUCUGCUCUUUUCUUCCUCUGUUUCUGCUCCUUCGACGUUGCGAUGCGACACUAAUGUGCUCUGCAUCUCGUUGACCGCAAUGUCCCAGGCCAAUACUGCUUUUCUGUACGUGCUGUGUCUGCAAGACACGCUCUCGGCCACGUUCUCCCCACGUCUUCCACUUUCGCCGUCUCGUCGCCUCAGCGCUGAUCCACUUCCUCUCUCUUUGCGUACCUAACUUUUUUGUCUUCGUUGGUUUGUUCUCGAUUUGCGAGUUUGAACGCACUGUUUUCAUUCUGGUUGAAAUGCUGUCUCGUGGUCUUCGUUAUCCCUCGGUGGGUGCAAGCGAGGAUGGGCAGGGAGGAGGUGGCUUCAUUCAUCGAUUGCAAGGCCACUGCAGUAAUCCAAUAGGAAUCACAAUUCUCACCCGGCCCUCUUCAGCACCAUUUUCUUGUCUUCGCGUGUGACGGUGUACUGUCCCCUCCCUUGCCAUUUCUUUGUUUUUCUUUCUUUCUUUGCGUUUAACCAGCGGCACACGCGACCUGCACGCUGUCACGUUUGUGCCCUUCUCCAUUUCUCUUCUAACUCUCCAGAGGGGGGGGGACUUGUUACGGUCGCUCUCUUUGUGUUGCGUCCUGCCGCUGUCCUUCUCGCCAUUCUUGCACGCCCCUCUCCUCCCCCUCCCCCCGAAAAAGAGUUAUGCAACCAGAAAGAUACGCACACCCUCUCUCCCGCCCCCUUCGAGAUUCUGUUUUCUCUCCACCUGCGGCACCUUUUUUUUUUCCGAAUAUGCUUUUUGUUGUGGCUUUGUGCGCCUUCCUCUCAUGCUGUUUUCUCCUCAUUAAUGAGCUGGAGUUUCUUAUAUCUGUUUGUGUGCUUCUUUCCCUCGUCCGCCUUGCCCCUUCGCUUUGGCGUUUUUUCGGUUUCGUGUGUGCGCGUGUGUGUCGUUUGGCCUCGACGGUCAGCGAUGCGGACUGAUGUGGGGCUUGAACCCUCCACCCAUUUGGUUGUCAGCGCGUUAGAUGUAGAGGCGAAUUACUGGCUCCUUUUUGUUUGUCGAUGCUUGUGUGCGUGUGCGUGUGUGUGUGUGUGCUGAUCUGUCAGUGUCUGUGCGCAUUAGCGCGCGACAGGAUCCCUUUGACCUGUGUUUUCUGUUGAUAUGCGCUCGCAACCGCCCCCGGUUCACACCGCUAUUAUACCGUGGACGCGUCGUGAUGGUUUCUAUUUUCUUCUGUGUGCAUUUUGCCGCUUUUUUCGUGUGUGCAACCGUGUCUUUUUUUUUUUCGCUGUUGUACUCAAACUCUUUCCGCCAACGUCUGUUGCCCGCUUUUUCUUUGGGACUAUCACCGGUCCCUUGCCGUUGCUGUCGUUUUCUAUGAGAUGGGAGGGGGGAGGUUGCUUUGUGCUCAGCCUUCUUUGCCCGCCUGUCUUCCUGUAUAUGGAUGUGUGCUCGUGCAUGUAUGUGUGUCUAUCUGUGACGCCUCUACUCCGUGGAUUAGCUGUCUUGCGCUUCACUUUCUUCAUUAUGUGCUUCGAACGUAUCGUCUACCCUGCAUCUCUUCGUGGCACUGCUGAGCAACACGGAUCUUUCACGCGUUUGCGACGGAUCCGCCAUGCCGUCACGAUGGCCUUGCCGUCGUUUUCGUUGUGCUUUUUCCUUUUACGUGGUCGACUAUCCUUUUUGUCCAACACCAAAAUGCACAUGAGCACAUGCGCGUCGUUCUUCGUGCGUGUCUGUGUCUGUGAGUAUGCUGCCGUCGUUUUCCUCGUGCCCAUUUUUUGGCUCGCUAUAUCAUGUGCCCCGCAAGCGUAACUUAUUGCUCUUUUCCUUUGGUGAUCUGCAGUUUAGAGAGGGGUGCUGUGCACGGGCUGAAGAGACGGUGCAAGCGCGCGUACGCUGUUUUCGUGACGAACCUCCUCUUCAAGGCAGGAAGCUUGGCGGCACAUGCGACUGGGUGGUGUUGUUGACGGGACUUGAGGUAGAGAUGGAGGUGGGUGGUUAGAAGGGGACGAGCAUAGAGACAGCGUUGAGUUUUCAAGGCUGCGUGCGUUCUCCGCGUGCUCUGCCGCCCCGCCGUGCCCCCUCAUCCGUUUCUCACGAACCUCACUUUCCGCCACUUCCCCACAAGUUUCUUUUUUCGCAUGCUGGCCAGUCUCUUUCCAGCCUCAGCAUGAUCACCACCGCCUUGGCCAAUGUGCAUUCACGCAUACCCUCCUACCUCUCUCGCCACGGCUGCCGCUUGUUCUCGCUCUGCGCCUAUGCCAAAGAUGUGCUCUCAGUCGUGAGCCUUGCUCCCACUUGCUUUUCUCUUUGGCUCCUGUUACUCCUACCUUUUUUUUGUGUUCUUCCUUUCUCGUCUUCCCUUGGCGGCCCGUCCGUUUCACGCUGCACCUGGGUCGCCGUCGCUCCUCCGUCAUCUUGCCUUGCCACGCCACCUCCGCCCCUUUCUCGCCGAUUUCUCCAUGGCCUACUUCCUCCUUUAUGCCCCUCUUCUCUUUCCAUAG
rnacentral:misc_RNA from 1 species